CGCGUAGGCGGCUCUGUUAGUCAGGCGUGAAAUUCCUGGGCUCAACCUGGGGACUGCGCUUGAUACGGCAGGGCUAGAGGAUGGAAGAGGCUCGCGGAAUUCCCAGUGUAGAGGUGAAAUUCGUAGAUAUUGGGAAGAACACCGGUGGCGAAGGCGGCGAGCUGGUCCAUUACUGACGCUGAGGCGCGACAGCGUGGGGAGCAAACAGGAUUAGAUACCCUUGUA
rnacentral:rRNA from 1 species